UCCAGACUCCUACGGGAGGCAGCAGUGAGGAAUAUUGGUCAAUGGGCGGGAGCCUGAACCAGCCAAGUCGCGUGAGGGAGGACGGUCCUAUGGAUUGUAAACCUCUUUAGGCGGGGAGCAAUGCCGGGCACGCGUGCCCGGAGGGAGAGUACCCGCAGAAUAAGCAUCGGCUAACUACGUGCCAGCAGCCGCGGUAAUACGUAGGGGGCAAGCGUUAUCCGGAUUCACUGGGUGUAAAGGGAGCGUAGACGGCGACGCAAGUCUGGAGUGAAAGCCCGGGGCCCAACCCCGGGACUGCUCUGGAAACUGCGUCGCUGGAGUACGGGAGGGGCAGGCGGAAUUCCUGGUGUAGCGGUGAAAUGCGUAGAUAUCAGGAGGAACACCGGUGGCGAAGGCGGCUUACUGGACCAUAACUGACGUUGAGGCUCGAAAGCGUGGGGAGCGAACAGGAUUAGAUACCCCUGUACG
rnacentral:rRNA from 1 species